UGUUAUACUGCUGUGUCGAGAGAAUCGAGUGUGAAAAUUUCGAUACAAUAUUCUCAGACCAUAACAAGUUUAUUGUUGCCUGCGGCAAAACGUGCAAUAUAUUAUCCAAAACUCGUUGUUGACCGACCUGGAUUGUAUCUUUCGAUACAUCGACUUAUACUUUCUGAAAGAAUGUACAUGCUUGUAUAAGUGACCUGGGAUUUUUGUUUCUUGUUGAAUUUUCUUUUUGGACGCUGCUUGCUUCCUUAAUUCCGGUGCGCGAUAGCGCCGCUGUGGUGUGUUUUCAACCCUCCUUUGUGUUAAAAAUUUAAUUUAGUGGAUUGAUGUUGAUUUACUUGUAGUCUUGUACUUGUAUUUACUUGUAGUCUUGUAGUCUUGUAAUUCAGCGAGGCAACGCUGCUUCCGUUCUCGGUACAAUGGAAGGAGCGGCAGCAUUAAAUGAAAUUUUGUUAUUUUGAUUUACUGUUGCAAAACUGUGAUGUUACCGCAUUUUGUGAAACAGAGUCGGCAGUCUUGUACCGCUAUGCGAUAUAUUACGGUAAACGCGAACAGCAGUGCUUGCUUGACGGGAGAGUGCAGCCUAAUGCAACACGCAUGUCCAGCGUGGGUUGCCGCUGGGAUUGCCCACUUCGGAACACAACAAGGACUGCCACCAAAGUCUCCUCCUGUGUCCUUAUCUGCCCGAAUUUGGAUGUAUGGAUCCAGCAUACUUCAUGCAGAUUUCACUGCGCUAACAAGCUCCAUAUCACGACUCGCCACGCCACAGUUGAAACCGCUGUUGGACUUUGAUGACGACGGCUACGCCUAUUUCUCAAUGAUUUAGCCGGCAUCCGCCAGCAACCCAGACGAGGAUUAUACGAGAUCAAGAUGGAGCAAUAUCUCAGGCAAAGAAUUAAUCGUAUAACAAAAACUAGUUGCGCUAAAGAAAAUUUUUAAUGGCAAUUAGUUAGGGACCAUCCAUAAAUUACGUAACGCAAAAAUUUACAGCUUUGAAUACUCCUUUCCCCGUGUCACCAAUGCUAACAAAGCUGAGAUCCUUUCCGCUGAACGCUAAGUAACAAAGUAAAAACACCUCCAGACGCCAGAUUGGAAUAAAUUGUACAUGUAAGACAUUUUUGAACCCUCCCCCUUUUAUCAUAAACAGUACAGUAACGUUUCAAAAACUCCCCCCUCCUCCUACUUGCGUUACGUAAUGUAUUGAUAAUCCUGAUACGAGUUUUAGGUACCGUUUUUCCGGGGGCUAGUUAACAGUUCAACCACCCUGAUGCUGUUGUGGCAUAUUGCGGACUGACACUUUUAUAGGAUACAGUGGAUACCACAACAACGUCCAUCCAUUAUCCACAGUCCUCUCGUGUGGACCAUUGACACCCUUCGACCCAAAGAGACUUGGGUGCAGUUCUGCACCAAAGCCACCAUGGGACGGGUUUAUAGCUAGUCCCACUUCCUCCGCUCUCCCAGAUCCUUACGCCUAGAACGGACAAGGAUAACGAUUGACCAUGUAUGUACAGUUCUUAAAAAGAAAUUGUAAUUGCUUUUAAUGUCUAAAUUGCAGUUAUAAACAGCCGUGCAGUUUUCAUACCUUCGUGUGCAAACGCAAACAUUAUUACUAGAGGACGACGACGCGUGUGCUUGUUGCUAAUUGUAUGCUUGAAAUAAUUGUCUGUUUUCUUAUACUAUGCUUGUCAGCUCUCAUAUAAAUAGCAUUACUGCUGGAUCAGUGAAU